UACGUAGGGGGCUAGCGUUGUCCGGAUUUAUUGGGCGUAAAGAGCGUGUAGGCGGCCUGAUAAGUCGGCUGUGAAAGUCAAGGGCUCAACCCUUGAAUGCCGGCCGAUACUGUCAGGCUAGAGUCCGGAAGAGGCGAGUGGAAUUCCUGGUGUAGCGGUGAAAUGCGCAGAUAUCAGGAGGAACACCUAUGGCGAAGGCAGCUCGCUGGGACGGUACUGACGCUGAGACGCGAAAGCGUGGGGAGCGAACAGG
rnacentral:rRNA from 1 species